ACCAUCCAGAGAGGUCGUGCGUAGUCUCCACUUCUACCCACUGUCGCAAGAGACCGAAAGAGCAGGCCGCCGCUCCUGUGACCAACACGGAGUUUCAGGGUGAGCGGACUGCUCUGGUCCCGAGUCCCAGGGGGAUGUCAUAUGAAUGAAAAUAAGCAUAUGUCUCCAGAUCCCAAAGCCAGAAUUUUCAAGCUAAUGAUAAAGGAAAUCAGGAGGAAGAUGCUAAAGGACCUGCGGAAUUAUGAAUGAUGUAUGCCAAGUAUAAUUGGAUGUUUCCUAGAACCUGAAAAUACAAUGGAACUAUUUGGAGCUUAACACUAUGGGACCUGCACAAGCCAGGACACUUCAUGAUCAAAUAACAGAAAAAUAUGCAGAGUGUGUCAGGGAUAUACAUUGACAACAAAUGAAGUAAGUUUAUGAAACUGGAAAAUUUGCUGAUCACUCCAGAAAUUAUCAGCAAAUUGGGGAGAGAACUGAGCUAAUAUAUACCUUCCAAAUAUGCCAACAAUACCAAAUGGAGAAAGAUAUCAAUUAAUAUAAUUACAGUCUUCUUAAUCUGCUAAGUAAUCAGUGUCUACCACCUUUCAAGUCACUUCAGGUCCCUGGAUCCUAGAUCCUUGUCAUCCUUCCUUAAGGGCACAUCUCUACACCAUUCCCUUCCCAGGAGAGCAGGUGCAGCUGUGGUUUACAGAGAGACAAUUCUCCACCAGCCUUUGCUGACCAACAGGCAACACACAACAUGCUUUUAUGAAGGACAAAAGACUGUUGUCUUCUGGGGCCUGUCUGCACUUUUACACAGUGAGCACCUGUAUUUUAUGUGAUAAGCAAACUCUCACUUCUCACCUAUAAGCAGGUAUAUAGAUCACAAAUGGAUGAAUUCCAAGGUCUAGGCUUUGUAGGAAUUAGGAUGCAUUUCAUUCUCUGUAAUGCAGCUCUAACAGUAAUAUGGCUGAAAUCAUGAGCCCUUAGACUCAGGUUUCUGUUGCUGUAUUUUAUUGACCAGAACCCUGGAGGAGAAAAGAGAUGAGUGAGUUACAAACUUUUUUCAUGUGCCUGGAGCUAUGUGCCUGAAUCAGGUGGGCACUCAACAAAUGUUAGUUCCUCUUCGUCUCCUUGAGGAAUUUAAAUUGAAAAUAUGUUCAGUUUCCUGUUAAACUCCUCUUAUCAGAAGAGCAGCAUAGUAGCAUUUUUUCCUGAUAACAGUGCUACUAAAUGUUUAUUUCAGUGGCAUUAUACAAUUUCCAUUUGCAAGUUUCAGACACCCUUUGCUAUACCUAAAAUAAAGCCUUUAUGGGCAACUUCAGGCAACAGAUUAGUUAGAGACCUGAUGAGGUUUUCAUUAGGAGGAAGUUGUUCUUUGCCUCCUACUAAAGCUAUCUUGUGGUAAAAUAUCUUAAACCCUAAUUAUACCUUAGAGCCUAAAAUUCAACUCUCAAGAAUAUUUUUUAUGGUAAGAAAUCUAAAACAGCAAAGGUUUUCUGGAGCAUGAUAUUUAUAUCAACAUUACUUAUAUUGUGGACAAUCUGGGGAAAAGCUUAAAAGCUGGAAAUAACUAUAGUAUGACUGGCUACAUAAAUUAUA